rnacentral:rRNA from 1 species
GUUACACAUGCUAGUCGAACGCGUCUUGGUCAAUGAAGUUGAGUGCUUGCAUUUAACUGAUUUGACAUUAAGACGAGUGGCGAACUGGUGAGUAACACGUGGGUAACUUGCCCCGAAGCGGGGGAUAACAUUUGGAAACAGGUGCUAAUACCGCAUAACAACAAAAACCACAUGGUUUUUGUUUAAAAGAUGGUUUCGGCUAUCACUUUGGGAUGGACCCGCGGCGUAUUAGCUAGUUGGUGAGGUAAUGGCUCACCAAGGCAAUGAUACGUAGCCGACCUGAGAGGGUAAUCGGCCACAUUGGGACUGAGACACGGCCCAAACUCCUACGGGAGGCAGCAGUAGGGAAUCUUCCACAAUGGACGAAAGUCUGAUGGAGCAACGCCGCGUGAGUGAUGAAGGGUUUCGGCUCGUAAAACUCUGUUGUUGGAGAAGAACGGGUGUCAGAGUAACUGUUGACAUCGUGACGGUAUCCAACCAGAAAGCCACGGCUAACUACGUGCCAGCAGCCGCGGUAAUACGUAGGUGGCAAGCGUUGUCCGGAUUUAUUGGGCGUAAAGCGAGCGCAGGCGGUUUUUUAGGUCUGAUGUGAAAGCCUUCGGCUUAACCGGAGAAGUGCAUCGGAAACCGGGAGACUUGAGUGCAGAAGAGGACAGUGGAACUCCAUGUGUAGCGGUGAAAUGCGUAGAUAUAUGGAAGAACACCAGUGGCGAAGGCGGCUGUCUGGUCUGCAACUGACGCUGAGGCUCGAAAGCAUGGGUAGCGAACAGGAUUAGAUACCCUGGUAGUCCAUGCCGUAAACGAUGAGUGCUAAGUGUUGGAGGGUUUCCGCCCUUCAGUGCUGCAGCUAACGCAUUAAGCACUCCGCCUGGGGGAGUACGACCGCAAGGUUGAAACUCAAAGGAAUUGACGGGGGCCCGCACAAGCGGUGGAGCAUGUGGUUUAAUUCGAUGCUACGCGAAGAACCUUACCAGGUCUUGACAUCUUCUGCUAACCUAAGAGAUUAGGCGUUCCCUUCGGGGACGGAAUGACAGGUGGUGCAUGGUUGUCGUCAGCUCGUG